rnacentral:misc_RNA from 1 species
GAAAUGCGAUAAGUAAUGUGAAUUGCAGAAUUCAGUGAAUCAUCGAAUCUUUGAACGCACCCUGCGCUCCUUGGUAUUCCUUGGAGCAUGCCUGUUUGAGUAUCAUGAAAUCUUCAAAGUAAAUCUUUUGUUAACUCAAUUGGUUUCUACUUUGGUAUUGGAGGUCUUUGCAGCUUCACACCUGCUCCUCUUUGUUCAUUAGCUGGAUCUCAGUGUUAUGCUUGGUUCCACUCGGCGUGAUAAGUUAUCUAUCGCUGAGGACACUGUAAAAGGUGGUCAAGGUAAAUGCAGAUGAACCGCUUCUAAUAGUCCAUUGACUUGGACAAUACUUUUAUGAUCUGAUCUCAAAUCAGGUAGGACUACCCGCUGAACUUAAGC